rnacentral:rRNA from 1 species
AGAACGAACGCUGGCGGCAUGCCUAACACAUGCAAGUCGAACGAGACCUUUGGGUCUAGUGGCGCACGGGUGCGUAACGCGUGGGAAUCUGCCCUUGGGUACGGAAUAACAGUGAGAAAUUACUGCUAAUACCGUAUGAUGUCUUCGGACCAAAGAUUUAUCGCCCAGGGAUGAGCCCGCGUUGGAUUAGCUAGUUGGUGGGGUAAAGGCCUACCAAGGCGACGAUCCAUAGCUGGUCUGAGAGGAUGAUCAGCCACACUGGGACUGAGACACGGCCCAGACUCCUACGGGAGGCAGCAGUGGGAAUAUUGGACAAUGGGCGAAAGCCUGAUCCAGCAAUGCCGCGUGAGUGAAGAAGGCCUUAGGGUUGUAAAGCUCUUUUACCCGGGAAGAUAAUGACUGUACUGGGAGAAUAAGCCCGGCUAACUCCGCGCCAGCAGCCGC